CGGCGACACCCUUGUUUUUUAACGUGAUCCAAGAUGCCGUCGAGCACAUAAAAGACGAAGCCCAAGAGAUUGCCAACAACAUCAACCAGGGCAUACAGGAUGCAAUUAAUCAGGUCAGCAACAGCAGCAGCGAAGCCGCAGCCAACGCCACCGCUUCUGCUGACGACAGCAGCUCUGCAGUAUCAGCAGACAGCGAAACUGAGGAGGACGCAUCUGACUACGCAUCUGAUUCUGCAUCUGACUCCACAUCCAACUCUGCAUCUGACUCUACAUCCGACUCCGCAUCUGACUCUACAUCCAACUCCGCAUCUGACUCCACGUCUGACUCUACAUCCGACUCCACAUCUGAUUCCGCAUCUGACUCCGCAUCUGACUCUGCAUCUGACUCCAGCUCCUCAUAAGGAGACGGGAUGGAGAGUGAAAGUGAGACUGAGAGCCUCUGAGCAUGAGGAGGUUCACAGGACAACAUCUAUACCUGUGUUCAUGGCAUUACUCUGAAAUUUCCCGUUUUAGCCGUUAAUAUCGUGAUUUUGAUCAUUUAAUUCCUUACAAUAACAGUGCCAAAUCUUAGAAAUAAACAUCUCUGACUCACA